AGACACCUGAUAGAGAAGCUGGCAGGCGCAGCAGAUGACAGGUACGGCAGAGGCGGAGGGAUACGGCAGAGGCGGAGGGAUACGCCGGCUGCGCUGCGCUGUUUAAUAUAGAUCUGCUGCGAUAAGGCAAAACAAAGCAGACAGGAUGCGUCCAUCAGGCAGGGGGAAGGAGUUCAGAGGAAAUUGCCACAAUAAAGUACACACUCGCACGCUGACACACAACUGGAUGCAGGGGUACAGUACAGAGGAGGUUCGAGGAGGUGAGCCUGACCAGCAGGAAGCAGGGGCAGAUGGCCACCCAGCAGACCCUCCAGAAACACCCCGGGUAGAAACCAAGCAUGAUCUGGACGUCAUUACAGAAGCGCUACUGGAACUGUUACAACCUCCAACUCACCAUAGAACCAGGAAACAGCGAUGACUUCAAGCAGGACGACGGUAAUGACUGCGGGGCCCGUGGCGUACUCCUCGAACAGCUUCACCACAAACGCCCCUCCCUGCAGCACAACACGCUUGGAAUGACUCCUGUGCACAAGGCCUCGUGUCCAAAGCCUGACUCCACCAAAGAGACUAAUAUGUUGUGAGUGCUGAAUGGAGCAGUCACUUCCUUACUAUAAUGAGGGCUGGAGAUAAAGAGAUUACGUGAGCUGCUCUAAUCUGAUUUCAGAAAACGCUUACCUGCCAUCCAGCAUACUACUAUAAAUAAAGCAAAAUAUGCCUUGACAACAAUAAGAACUUUAAAGGAACUAUAAGCAUUAAA